CUUUGUCUUUUCUCGCCAAUGCCGUUCAUCCUGAGGGUUCCCCUGGAUCCUGCUGGGGCUGGACCCCGGCAAGUGGCGCCACGAACAGGAACCCAAAGGUGCUGGCCCAGGUCACCGGGAAAGCAUGACCAUGAUCAUGGAGCUUCACAAGGAGGUCCUCCAGGACAUGGCCCCCCCUAAGAAGCACCUGCUGUGACAGACAGCCCGCCAAUGCCCAGAUGGGCCUGAUAAACAAAAACACGUUCUGCACCACGCUGCAGCCCCAGCUCUUCACGAUGGACCUCAACGUGGUGGAGCACAAGAUCGCAGCCUUAAAUGCGCUUGCGGCCUGCAAUUAUCUUCCUCAGUCCAGAAAAAAGAUCAUUGCUGCGCUCUUCAAAGCCCUGAAUUCAACCAAUAGCAAGCUCCAGGAGGCCGGAAAAGCCUGCAUGAAAAAGUUUUUAAAAGGUGCUACCAUGAAAGUAGACCAGAUCCACACUCACAUGCGCCCGCUGUUGAUGAUGCUGGGAGACUAUCGGAGCCUGACGCUCAACGUCGUCAAUCUUCUGACCUCUCAAUAUAAUAUUUGUUCCUUUGUGGUGCUGCGACGCCCAACUUACCUUAUGGUGCCCGUCUCAGUGAGUGCCUUUUGGUAUGACAUUUAUGGUAUAGUCGUUCUGCAACAACUGCAAGAUUUCAUGCGAUCCUGAUGGUUUUUAGGACUACUUAUCUUAGGGAUUUCAGCUUUAAUAACAGCAAUUACCUCUGUCACUGUGGCAGCAAUAUCAUUGACUCACCAGAUGGAUCCAACGAACUCACAUGGCUUCCUCUUCGGAAGACUCGACCCACAGGGGCCCCCAGCAUUCAAAAUGGAAACGAAACAAAAAAAACCCCAGGAGGAAGAAAUUCCAAUACCAGCCACGUUGGCUCUAAAGAUCUCCAGGAAGCACCACCCUUGGCGACAUCAACCUUAUGAGUCCUGAAAACCUUACUGCUAUGCUCGCUCCAUUUGCCUGCAUGACCCCCCUGCCCCCUACCCCGCUGGAGCCAGAAUAACUAAUCAGACUUACUGGGUUUACUUACCCAACCCCCCUUUAUUGCAGGUCGUAGAAUGAAUGGAGAAAGGACUGAUUGUAUCAACCAAUGACUACUCCCAUAUGCCUCCUCCCUGUAACGUGAAGGAGCCCUAACACCCUGGGGAGGAGGGAAAACUAAUUAACAUUUCUUUAGGCUAUGAAGUCCUUCCUUUGUGCCUGGGCCC